UUCACCCUACCCCCAAGAAGGUGUUAUAUAAAUAGCCCAGGACUCUCUCAUCCAAUUCGCCCAAAGCCUAACGCCCAAAACAACCCGCGUAGCCCAUAGCCGUUGUUCGCAUCUCGUUGUGGCCGAGGUAGUUCGUCGUUGUUUUCGACACCAGUGAGCAACUUCAAAGCUCCUCCUUUCUCCAUCUACUUUUCCUAGCCAUCGAGAAUCCUUUUGACAUCUUCUUAUUGCAUAAAGCGCGUGAGAGCCUCGCCCGAAUCAUCGGAGCACUGCAGAGCACCGAACCUCAGCAAUCUCACCCCACUCCCCUGGACAACCCGCU
rnacentral:lncRNA from 1 species